AUUGAACGCUGGCGGCAUGCUUUACACAUGCAAGUCGGACGGCAGCACAGAGAAGCUUGCUUCUUGGGUGGCGAGUGGCGAACGGGUGAGUAAUAUAUCGGAACGUACCGAGUAAUGGGGGAUAACUAAUCGAAAGAUUAGCUAAUACCGCAUAUUCUCUGAGGAGGAAAGCAGGGGACCUUCGGGCCUUGCGUUAUUCGAGCGGCCGAUAUCUGAUUAGCUAGUUGGUGGGGUAAAGGCCUACCAAGGCGACGAUCAGUAGCGGGUCUGAGAGGAUGAUCCGCCACACUGGGACUGAGACACGGCCCAGACUCCUACGGGAGGCAGCAGUGGGGAAUUUUGGACAAUGGGCGCAAGCCUGAUCCAGCCAUGCCGCGUGUCUGAAGAAGGCCUUCGGGUUGUAAAGGACUUUUGUCAGGGAAGAAAAGGCUGUUGCUAAUAUCAAUAGCUGACGACGGUACCUGAAGAAUAAGCACCGGCUAACUACGUG
rnacentral:rRNA from 1 species